CUAUUCUUUAUUUUCAUUUAUGCAAAUUCUUGUUGGAUUACCGGAUGACAAAAUGUAGCUCAGCUCACCACCCUCAAUGGACACCAGUAGAAUAGUGGGGAGCAUGGAUCACACAGCGGGCCGUAUCCUGUACAAAUAGAGGAGAAAAAAGAGUUGAUGGAUUCCAGCUCUCCCAGGACACUGUGGCUGCUGACCUUCGCUCCAACAGCGAUUCUACGUGCCUGCUGAGGUGUUGUGCCCUGUUCACAACUCUAUCUAGUUUUUAGGUAAGUAGAAUUGGUGGCACAAAAAAUAAGCCCUCAAAUGGAUUUUUAGGUGCAAAAUUGAAAGAGUUAUGAUUUUUUAACGGUCACAGCACUCUCCACUACCACCUGCCAUGUGCUGUCCAGACUUUCCCCAAUUGGGGCCAAACCAGAGUCUUUCAAGGCUACACCCACUCAGCAUAGUGGUGCAGUGCAUUAUUGCCACCAUGUGUGACUUUUCUACCAGCAUUAGUCCCAUCUAGGGCUUAUACCAGCACCUAUGCCUCUUCUUGUGUCUGCAAGCCCUGAAAACGCUAAUUCUUGUUUCUAUAUUCUGCUGUGACGCAACAUGGUCAAAGUCUGAAGUCUGGAGGAAGAAGUCUAAGCAAGUCGAAGAAGGAAAGAGAACGAUUCUGCAUAGAUGCCCCCUAUUCAGGCUGCAGAUACUGUUAACACAGUCAUACUGUAGGGCCUCCCCACACAGUGCUCCCUCUUGGGUGUGGUCACAUAAUUAUUAUGAUUAAUUGUUUAUAUCAUUUUUCAUUUCUAAUAACCAGGUUAUACUUAUUUCAUAUUAAGGUUUUAUAUUUUAUUACUGACAUAACUAGAAUAAUUAGAAUACAGACAGAAAAAAAAGGGAAAGGCCAUGUCAAGAUUCACUGAGGAGUAGUGACAAUAAUAGAUUUAAUGUCAAAAUAUAUUGUGCUGUGGGACCACUUUCCAACAUUUGAUUUGUUAAUGCAGCGGAAUUGAGUUACAGUAUAUUUUGGUAGAGAUGUCAGGGUUCCUUUCAUAAACAAAGUCAUGUGAUUUACCGUAUGUUCACAAUAUUGAAUUUUUUUUAAUAAAAACUAAAUAUGUCAUAUUUUUGAGUGAUAUUUACAUAAAGUACUUUUUAUUUUAAGAGCUAGA